CAUUCAACCCAUUAGUAAUAGACAACCACUCUAAACAAACUCUCCGCAAAAGAUAAUAUAAAUUUACACUAUUGUUACAGAUCGUUCUCGAGCAUUUCAUCACACUCUUCAGACUUCACUGAACUUCAAAAUCUCGCUCUCUCCGAAUAAUUUCAUUUCAAAAUGGCUGAGGCUGCUGCCUCUAACGCUGAGCUGUUGGAGUGGCCAAAGAAAGAUAAGCGACGCAUGCUUCAUGUUGUGUAUCGUGUUGGUGAUCUUGAUCGCACCAUCAAGUUCUAUACUGAAUGCUUAGGGAUGAAGCUGUUGAGGCAAAGA